AACGAACGCUGGCGGCAGGCUUAACACAUGCAAGUCGAGCGCCCCGCAAGGGGAGCGGCAGACGGGUGAGUAACACGUGGGGAUCUGCCCGAUGGUACGGAAUAGCUCCGGGAAACUGGAAUUAAUACCGUAUGUGCCCGCAAGGGGAAAGAUUUAUCGCCAUCGGAUGAACCCGCGUCGGAUUAGCUAGUUGGUGGGGUAAAGGCCCACCAAGGCGACGAUCCGUAGCUGGUCUGAGAGGAUGAUCAGCCACACUGGGACUGAGACACGGCCCAGACUCCUACGGGAGGCAGCAGUGGGGAAUAUUGGACAAUGGGCGAAAGCCUGAUCCAGCCAUGCCGCGUGAGUGAUGAAGGCCUUAGGGUUGUAAAGCUCUUUCGCCGACGAAGAUAAUGACGGUAGUCGGAGAAGAAGCCCCGGCUAACUUCGUGCCAGCAGCCGCCGUAAUAC
rnacentral:rRNA from 1 species